AGUGAACGCUGGCGGUAGGCCUAACACAUGCAAGUCGAACGGCAGCACAGUAAGAGCUUGCUCUUACGGGUGGCGAGUGGCGGACGGGUGAGGAAUACAUCGGAAUCUACUUUUUCGUGGGGGAUAACGUAGGGAAACUUACGCUAAUACCGCAUACGACCUACGGGUGAAAGCAGGGGAUCUUCGGACCUUGCGCGAUUGAAUGAGCCGAUGUCGGAUUAGCUAGUUGGCGGGGUAAAGGCCCACCAAGGCGACGAUCCGUAGCUGGUCUGAGAGGAUGAUCAGCCACACUGGAACUGAGACACGGUCCAGACUCCUACGGGAGGCAGCAGUGGGGAAUAUUGGACAAUGGGCGCAAGCCUGAUCCAGCCAUACCGCGUGGGUGAAGAAGGCCUUCGGGUUGUAAAGCCCUUUUAUUGGGAAAGAAAAGCAGCAGGUUAAUACCCCGCUGCUCUGACGGUACCCAAAGAAUAAGCACCGGCUAACUUCGUG
rnacentral:rRNA from 1 species